rnacentral:rRNA from 1 species
ACUGCAGGACACAUGAACAUCGACAUUUCGAACGCACAUUGCGGUCCUCGGAUACUGUUCCUGGACCACUCCUGGCUGAGGGUCGCAUCCAUCAGACUGCCGGCAUUUGUUCUUUCGGACGAUUGCCGCGCGAAAUUGAGAGUUCGCUCGGGUUCCCGCACGGGUCCUGCCGGCGUCUCUUUAAAUCACAGAACGGUCGUUUCCGAGCCCUCGCGGGUCAGGUACGACUUCUCGAGCGUCGGCGCCUUGCGCCCGUACGGCUCCGCGUUCAGCGCGAGACCGCCCGGUUGACGUGUCCUAGACUACUUUGACUAGAAGACGUCUGAUCGUGUGCGCGUCCGCGUGCGGUGCAUCCAAACGUACGAGUGCAUAUUCGACGGUGCCGCGCGACAAUAAAAUCCAUUAUGCGACCUCAGAGCAGGUGAGACUACCCC